UCAACAAUUGCAACAGUGGGCAGAAAUGGAAAAACGCGCCUUGAUGUCUCGCGCCAGUGGAAAAAUUGCCCCCCUACAGUAUGCUGUGGAUUUACAAAUGGAAACAGAUAACGAACGGGUAGCGUUGACAGGAUGGAAAAAAUAUAUGGUGUUAUUGAACCGUGUAGACUGUUCGAC
rnacentral:sRNA from 1 species